UCACGGUUUACUUAUGGGAAUUUGGGCUAGUUUCUACCCUGUUUGUUCACAAUGUAGUUCUUCCCAACCAACCAAUCUUCACUUCAAGAGGGCCACACUGUAACCUCAGCUAAACUCUGUAAGUCACAAUGGCUUGGCUCAAGAGCAGCACUUGUUCCUCACCUCUUUAGCUGUCAUACACCAACAUCUGGAUUCUUUCAGGAAAUUCUUAAUUGAAUCUGUUACGACCAACAAAGAUGAAGCAAACCAGUGUCAUCCAGUCUUUGAUACAAGUGAGUACAGCUGCAAAGGGAAGCAGAUUCUGUAUAUGUUGGUAACUACCCACCAAGAAGCAUGUGGGUAGCAGGGAAGAAGUAAAAAAAAAAAAAAAAAAAAAGAAUCCUGGGAGAUAAUGCAUUUUCCCCUGAAUAUUCUUAUACUUUUUAAUAUACAUGGGUGGUUUAAGUAUUGAGCUCCCAACCAAACAUUUGAGAACAGGCUCCUUGAGCAAACCAUGAAAUCAGUGAAAAUAGGAAUUUAUACCCAUAGAGUGCUGGAAAGGACUUGGUAAUUGUUAACACAUUACACUUAGCGGCAGAUGAGACCUGAUGAAGCCUGGUCCACCUUCCAUACUGUAUUAGUCCCUUCCUGAAGGGAAAGGACUAGUUAAGGAUUUAAAAAACAGCAAAAGACAGUAAUAUAUAACUAUAGAAGAAUUGAGGGUAAGCAUGCAAAACUUAUGAGGCACUGUCUUAAACACCAAUCAAUGUGGCAGAAAAAAAUUCAAAGCACAAAAGCAAAACAACCUUAGAAUUAUCUUAAGGACUGAUAUUGGUAAUUAAUUAGAGUCAAUUUAAUAAUCUUACAUUUCCUUACAUUAUCUUGGCAAGAUUCAAAUGUCUAUUUGCCAACAUUUAUUUUAUUUGGAGAACUUUUAUCAAAAGUAAUGCUGCCAAAGGAAGUCUGAGGAGUUGGUAAUGUUGCCAUGACUUGUUUGGAAUAUUUUAGUAUAAGAGUUUGUGAUUUCUUGGACUGACAAUUAUAUUUUAACUUUGGUGGGGGAAAGAAUUAUAGGACCACAGUCUUUACUUCUCAUAUUUGUAAGUUACUAAUCUUUUGUUGAACUUCUUUUGACCAUUAAACUAUAAUAUUUAGAAAUGGUCAUUUUAUGUAAAAUUUGGAAAAUUUGAUAAUAGUGCAGUAGAAUAAAUGAAUUAAUUUUUUAUUUAAUUUAUAUUGAACUGUCAAUGACAAAUAAAAAUUCUUUUUGAUUA